AAUGGGGAUCCGCGUAUUAUUUUCUGGACCCUUUUCCAAAUAAUUAAAACCCUAAAAGUUGUUUGCGACUCAAUUCUACGGAUCAAGCCGAAGAGGCGGCAGUGAAAAAUCUCUUUAUCGUGUUUUCAUUGGAAUAAGAUCAACUCUCGAGUGAUGAAACUAAUCUCAAUCCUAGAGUUGGCUUGGAUAGAGGAACAAACACAAGACUAGCCUUGAUUUCUUUGUUGGGUCUCCCCGAUACGAUAUAGUUUUGAAGGAUGGACAAGUUUCACAACCAAAUUUGUCAUCAUAAUCUCAUUUGCGAGUUUCAAGCCAACCACAGGAGAUUAUUUGCACAUUGCCAAACAGUUGCAGAGGGAUCUUCUUCAAAACAUUGAUUGUAAACAGAUAUCCUGAUUGUGAGGAAGGGCUGAAUGCUUCUACUGCUGCUGCCAAUCUAUCUAAAGAGAAGAACGUGAUGGAAGUAUCAUAACAUGUGAUACAAAAUCAUGGAAACGAAAAGAGUCAAAGCCUAUAAAAAAAAAAUCUAUAUUUAGCCUUUAAUGUUCCAGCUGAUGAAAAGCUGCUUGCGAUGUAAGUUUAUCUUUCUUCUCACUUUUGGGACCAACAGAUAAAAGUGAUAUUAUUUUUUAGUCAUGAUUUUUCUUUAUGCUGAGGAACCCUUGAAGGAGAUGAUGUUAUGUUACUUGACAUACUUCAACAAGUCAGAGAGUUAUCUGGGCUGGGCGGGUCACAGGCAGAUAAGGAUAAGAAGAAGACUAAGCAUCAGUAAGAGACAUGUCCAGUCGAUGAGAUUAAGAAGAAAUAGAGAAGAAAGAAAGAAGAGAUAAUGUGUCGGUUUUAGUUUUUUUU